rnacentral:rRNA from 1 species
CCUACGGGAGGCAGCAGUGGGGAAUAUUGCACAAUGGGGGAAACCCUGAUGCAGCGCCGCCGCGUGAGUGAAGAAGUAAUUCGUUAUGUAAAGCUCUAUCAGCAGGGAAGAAAAUUACGGUACCUGCGUAAGAAGCCCCGGCUAACUACGUGCCAGCAGCCGCGGUAAUACGUAGGGGGCAAGCGUUCUCCGGAUUUACUGGGUGGAAAGGGAGCGUGGACGGCAGUGCAAGUCUGGAGUGAAAGGCGGGGGCUCAACCCCCGGACUGCUCUGGAAACUGUACGGCUGGAGUGCAGGAGAGGUAAGUGGAAUUCCUAGUGUAGCGGUGAAAUGCGUAGAUAUACGGAGGAACACCAGUGGCGAAGGCGGAUUGCUGGACAGUAACUGACGCUGAGGCGCGAAAGCGUGGGGAGCAAACAGGAUUAGAUACCCCAGUAGUC